CAUAUAUCCAGAGAGAUUGCGUUUAACCGCAGGGAACUGCUGCUGCUGAUAUACUAUAUGUAUUUGUCAGUACUCUAUAUCACAGUGGCUGUUCUUUUUGGUUGCAUCGCAAAUAGCCAACAAUUUGUC
rnacentral:pre_miRNA from 15 species